rnacentral:lncRNA from 1 species
UAUUGUGUAAUUAUACUAAUACAAUAUAAUAUAGAGUAGUUGAGCAUGGUUUUGGUUUCUUCAUGCGGGAAAAAUAGGCAAGGAGGAAUCAUGCUGCCAUUAAUUUGGAGUUUCAGAUGGAAGCCCUUGAGGAUAGGAUUGUGAAGACGAGAGGGUUGUUUGUGGAAGAGCUUCAAAAAGUCUGCUAUUGACAAUGUGAAAAAGCCAUGG